rnacentral:rRNA from 1 species
AGAGUUUGAUCAUGGCUCAGAUUGAACGCUGGCGGCAGGCCUAACACAUGCAAGUCGAACGGUAACAGGAAGCAGCUUGCUGUUUCGCUGACGAGUGGCGGACGGGUGAGUAAUGUCUGGGAAACUGCCUGAUGGAGGGGGAUAACUACUGGAAACGGUAGCUAAUACCGCAUAAUGUCGCAAGACCAAAGAGGGGGACCUUCGGGCCUCUUGCCAUCGGAUGUGCCCAGAUGGGAUUAGCUUGUUGGUGGGGUAACGGCUCACCAAGGCGACGAUCCCUAGCUGGUCUGAGAGGAUGACCAGCCACACUGGAACUGAGACACGGUCCAGACUCCUACGGGAGGCAGCAGUGGGGAAUAUUGCACAAUGGGCGCAAGCCUGAUGCAGCCAUGCCGCGUGUAUGAAGAAGGCCUUCGGGUUGUAAAGUACUUUCAGCGGGGAGGAAGGGAGUAAAGUUAAUACCUUUACUCAUUGACGUUACCCGCAGAAGAAGCACCGGCUAACUCCGUGCCAGCAGCCGCGGUAAUACGGAGGGUGCAAGCGUUAAUCGGAAUUACUGGGCGUAAAGCGCACGCAGGCGGUUUGUUAAGUCAGAUGUGAAAUCCCCGGGCUCAACCUGGGAACUGCAUCUGAUACUGGCAAGCUUGAGUCUCGUAGAGGGGGGUAGAAUUCCAGGUGUAGCGGUGAAAUGCGUAGAGAUCUGGAGGAAUACCGGUGGCGAAGGCGGCCCCCUGGACGAAGACUGACGCUCAGGUGCGAAAGCGUGGGGAGCAAACAGGAUUAGAUACCCUGGUAGUCCACGCCGUAAACGAUGUCGACUUGGAGGUUGUGCCCUUGAGGCGUGGCUUCCGGAGCUAACGCGUUAAGUCGACCGCCUGGGGAGUACGGCCGCAAGGUUAAAACUCAAAUGAAUUGACGGGGGCCCGCACAAGCGGUGGAGCAUGUGGUUUAAUUCGAUGCAACGCGAAGAACCUUACCUGGUCUUGACAUCCACGGAAGUUUUCAGAGAUGAGAAUGUGCCUUCGGGAACCGUGAGACAGGUGCUGCAUGGCUGUCGUCAGCUCGUGUUGUGAAAUGUUGGGUUAAGUCCCGCAACGAGCGCAACCCUUAUCCUUUGUUGCCAGCGGUCCGGCCGGGAACUCAAAGGAGACUGCCAGUGAUAAACUGGAGGAAGGUGGGGAUGACGUCAAGUCAUCAUGGCCCUUACGACCAGGGCUACACACGUGCUACAAUGGCGCAUACAAAGAGAAGCGACCUCGCGAGAGCAAGCGGACCUCAUAAAGUGCGUCGUAGUCCGGAUUGGAGUCUGCAACUCGACUCCAUGAAGUCGGAAUCGCUAGUAAUCGUGGAUCAGAAUGCCACGGUGAAUACGUUCCCGGGCCUUGUACACACCGCCCGUCACACCAUGGGAGUGGGUUGCAAAAGAAGUAGGUAGCUUAACCUUCGGGAGGGCGCUUACCACUUUGUGAUUCAUGACUGGGGUGAAGUCGUAACAAGGUAACCGUAGGGGAACCUGCGGUUGGAUCACCU